UAACUUGAGAGUUUGAUCCUGGCUCAGGACGAACGCUGGCGGCAUGCCUAAUACAUGCAAGUCGAACGAGAAAGUUCCUUCGGGGACGAUUAAAGUGGCGCACGGGUGAGUAACGCGUAGACAAUCUGCCCUUCAGUCUGGGACAACUUUUCGAAAGGAGAGCUAAUACCGGAUGACAAUAUAACACAUAAGUGUCAUAUUUGAAAGCUCCGGCGCUGAAGGAGGAGUCUGCGUCCCAUUAGCUAGUUGGUAAGGUAAAGGCUUACCAAGGCAACGAUGGGUAGCGGGUUUGAGAGGACGAUCCGCCACACUGGAACUGAGACACGGUCCAGACUCCUACGGGAGGCAGCAGUAGGGAAUAUUGCACAAUGGAGGAAACUCUGAUGCAGCAAUGUCGCGUGAGUGAAGAAGGCCCUUGGGUCGUAAAGCUCUUUUAUGGGGGAAGAUGAUGACGGUACCCCAAGAAUAAGCACCGGCUAACUACGUGCCAGCAGCCGCGGUAAUACGUAGGGUGCGAGCGUUGUUCGGAAUUACUGGGCGUAAAGGGCGCGCAGGCGGAAUAGCAAGUCGGAGGUGAAAGCCCGGGGCUCAACCCCGGAGGGUCUUUCGAAACUGCUAAUCUAGAGAGGGUCAGGGGCCAGCAGAAUUCUUGGUGUAGAGGUGAAAUUCGUAGAUAUCAAGAGGAAUACCGGUGGCGAAAGCGGCUGGCUGGGGCCACUCUGACGCUGAGGCGCGAAAGCGUGGGGAGCAAACAGGAUUAGAUACCCUG
rnacentral:rRNA from 1 species